rfam:Beta vulgaris subsp. vulgaris chromosome 5, whole genome shotgun sequence.
GGUGGCAUGGCCGAAUGGUAAGGCAGAGGACUAUAAAUUCUUGUUCCCUAGUUCAAAUCCGGGUGUCGCCU